GAUGAACGCUGGCGGCGUGCCUAAUACAUGCAAGUCGAGCGAACGGACGAGAAGCUUGCUUCUCUGAUGUUAGCGGCGGACGGGUGAGUAACACGUGGAUAACCUACCUAUAAGACUGGGAUAACUUCGGGAAACCGGAGCUAAUACCGGAUGAUAUUUUGAACCGCAUGGUUCAAAAGUGAAAGACGGUCUUGCUGUCACUUAUAGAUGGAUCCGCGCUGCAUUAGCUAGUUGGUAAGGUAACGGCUUACCAAGGCAACGAUGCAUAGCCGACCUGAGAGGGUGAUCGGCCACACUGGAACUGAGACACGGUCCAGACUCCUACGGGAGGCAGCAGUAGGGAAUCUUCCGCAAUGGGCGAAAGCCUGACGGAGCAACGCCGAGUGAGUGAUGAAGGUCUUCGGAUCGUAAAACUCUGUUAUUAGGGAAGAACAUAUGUGUAAAUAACUGUGCACAUCUUGACGGUACCUAAUCAGAAAGCCACGGCUAACUACGUG
rnacentral:rRNA from 1 species